AGAGUUUGAUCCUGGCUCAGGAUGAAUGCUGGCGGCGUGCCUAACACAUGCAAGUCGAGCGAGAAACUCAUGACAGAAGCUUCGGUUGAAGUCAUGGGUGGAAAGCGGCGGACGGGUGAGUAACGCGUAGGCAACCUGCCCUUUGCAGAGGGAUAGCCUCGGGAAACCGGGAUUAAAACCUCAUGAUGCCGUGUGAAGACAUCUUCAUAUGGUCAAAGAUUUAUCGGCAAAGGAUGGGCCUGCGUCUGAUUAGCUGGUUGGUGGGGUAACGGCUCACCAAGGCAACGAUCAGUAGCCGACCUGAGAGGGUGAUCGGCCACAUUGGAACUGAGACACGGUCCAAACUCCUACGGGAGGCAGCAGUGGGGAAUAUUGCACAAUGGGGGAAACCCUGAUGCAGCAACGCCGCGUGAAGGAAGAAGGCCUUUGGGUCGUAAACUUCUGUUCUGAGGGAAGAAAGUGACGGUACCUCAGGAGCAAGUCCCGGCUAACUACGUGCCAGCAGCCGCGGUAAUACGUAGGCGGCGAGCGUUGUCCGGAAUUAUUGGGCGUAAAGGGAGCGCAGGCGGGAAGGUAAGUCUAUCUUAAAAGUGCGGGGCUCAACCCCGUGAGGGGAUGGAAACUAUCUUUCUUGAGUGCAGGAGAGGAAAGCGGAAUUCCUAGUGUAGCGGUGAAAUGCGUAGAUAUUAGGAGGAACACCAGUGGCGAAGGCGGCUUUCUGGACUGUAACUGACGCUGAGGCUCGAAAGCGUGGGGAGCGAACAGGAUUAGAUACCCUGGUAGUCCACGCCGUAAACGAUGAAUGCUAGGUGUAGGAGGUAUCGACCCCUUCUGUGCCGGAGUUAACGCAAUAAGCAUUCCGCCUGGGGAGUACGGCCGCAAGGCUGAAACUCAAAGGAAUUGACGGGGGCCCGCACAAGCGGUGGAGUAUGUGGUUUAAUUCGACGCAACGCGAAGAACCUUACCAGGGCUUGACAUUGAGUGAAAGGACAAGAGAUUGUCCCCUCUCUUCGGAGACACGAAAACAGGUGGUGCAUGGCUGUCGUCAGCUCGUGUCGUGAGAUGUUGGGUUAAGUCCCGCAACGAGCGCAACCCUUAUCCUUUGUUGCCAGCACGUUAUGGUGGGAACUCAAAGGAGACUGCCGCGGACAACGCGGAGGAAGGCGGGGAUGACGUCAAGUCAUCAUGCCCCUUAUGUCCUGGGCUACACACGUACUACAAUGGGAUGGACAGAGAGCAGCGAAGCCGCGAGGCCAAGCGAACCCCAUAAACCAUCUCCCAGUUCGGAUUGCAGGCUGCAACCCGCCUGCAUGAAGUUGGAAUCGCUAGUAAUCGCAGGUCAGCAUACUGCGGUGAAUACGUUCCCGGGCCUUGUACACACCGCCCGUCACACCACGGAAGUCAUUCACACCCGAAGCCGGCAGGCUAACCUUCUGGAGGCAGCCGUCUAAGGUGGGGGCGAUGACUGGGGUGAAGUCGUAACAAGGUA
rnacentral:rRNA from 1 species